AUGAACGCUGACAGAAUGCUUAACACAUGCAAGUCGAUGGGGAAGUGGUGCUUGCACCAUGGUAACCAUGGCGGACGGGUGAGUAACGCGUAAGGAACUUGCCUGCGGGACUGGGAUAACAGCAGGAAACUGCUGAUAAUACCGGAUAAGGUCAUUAAGCUGCAUAGCUUAGUGAUGAAAGGAGACGCCUGCGGAGAGCCUUGCGUCCUAUUAGCUAGUUGGAGGGGUAACGGCCCACCAAGGCGAAGAUAGGUAGCCGGCCUGAGAGGGUGGACGGCCACAAGGGGACUGAGAUACGGCCCUUACUCCUACGGGAGGCAGCAGUGGGGAAUAUUGGACAAUGGGGGCAACCCUGAUCCAGCAAUUCUGUGUGCACGAAGACGGUUUUCGGAUUGCAAAGUGCUUUCAGCAGGGAAGAAGGAAGUGACGGUACCUGCAGAAGAAGCGACGGCUAAAUACGUG
rnacentral:rRNA from 1 species